AGAGUUUGAUCAUGGCUCAGGAUGAACGCUGGCGGCGUGCUUAACACAUGCAAGUCGAACGAAGAGGGUUAGAAUGAGAGCUUCGACAGGAUUUCUAUCUAUCUUAGUGGCGGACGGGUGAGUAACGUGUGGGCAACCUGCCCUGUACUGGGGAAUAAUCAUUGGAAACGAUGACUAAUACCGCAUGUGGUCCUCGGGAGGCAUCUUCUGAGGAAGAAAGGAUUUAUUCGGUACAGGAUGGGCCCGCAUCUGAUUAGCUAGUUGGUGAGAUAACAGCCCACCAAGGCGACGAUCAGUAGCCGACCUGAGAGGGUGAUCGGCCACAUUGGGACUGAGACACGGCCCAAACUCCUACGGGAGGCAGCAGUGGGGAAUAUUGCACAAUGGGGGAAACCCUGAUGCAGCGACGCCGCGUGAAGGAUGAAGUAUUUCGGUAUGUAAACUUCUAUCAGCAGGGAAGAAAAUGACGGUACCUGACUAAGAAGCCCCGG
rnacentral:rRNA from 1 species